AAUAUUGAUGGCAUUAGAAAAACACUUGGUUACUCGUGUCAGCAACUAAUCCCUGUUCCGUUUCUCUCCCACUCUGCCUUCACAGCACCUUCACCAGGCUGGCAAUCACUGUUUAGAAGGGCAGCGCACACCAAGCUUGCUCGAGGUCCUCAAAGGAGAUGGGUAUGUUCCAUGUCCAAGCCAAAAACUGUUCCUACAGCCAUCAGCACGUUACACGUGGACUCCAGUGAUGUUGUCUGCGGACUUCACUCUCCUGUGCACACAGGCACUCAUUCACACUCAUGCUCCCACCAUGGCUAAACCACACUGCAGGCCUCUCCUUCUUAAUCAGCCAAGGAACUCAAAUUUCACAGAAUCUGCUCCUAUCCCAAGAUGGAGGUCUCAGAAACACAGGUUCUUGCCUCACCAUGUGACAUUUGCCAGCAGUGCAGCAGAGCACUGAUUCAUUCCUAACCAAGCCAAGCAGAGGUUUGGUGCUCCAAAGAUCCUGCUCCAUCUCCCAGGCAAAUACCCCCAGAAAGGCUGGUCUGAGUCUUUACUGAGAGGGAAGCACCUGCUGCUGCCCAGGUCUCUUUCAACCAACCACCAACAAAAAUGGUGGCAGCAGCUGCAGGACUGGAGCUGCCCCCAAGAGGGGCGACUUCUGCCAACCUAGCAAUGCAUCCCAGACCAAAAGGAAGGAGGUGAGAAUCAUUCUGCCAUUCAAACCAGCAACACUACCCAGGUCUGUCCAUGGGUCAUCCAGCAUGAUGGGGAAGACUCUUCAGUUUCCUGCUCCACCACUGCAUAGGAAUGAGGCCCAAAGCCGUGAGAUGUGCCAAGAGGAAAUGCUCCUCGCUGGGACAUGAUACAACCAGCAACAGCAAUUCCACUUCUGUCUGCAUCACGGCACCUUUCAAAAAGAAGAGGAAGAGCUGGACCAGCUUUCCCAGGAGAGCACACUCCAACGGGGCUGAUUCCCAAGGACAUUGAGAAACUCUCUGCUAUUACUCACAGAUCCCUGGAGAAGAAUGGAAAUGGAGCUGCAUUUAGCCACAAGGGUAGACUACACAAGAAUAUAGUUUCUGUCCAGAAAAUGAAGUAUUAAUACCUCGAUAUGUCUGUGUGGGACUAAAAAGAUUGAACUGAAAAACUGUGAAAACUGCUUAUAGAGAAGCACAAGAGGUAAGCAUGCUGCUGUGAUACUCUGAAUUUCAGAUCAGUUUGUGUAUUGCAAGAGCUGAAAAUUCCCAUAGAUUUGGGAUAUUUUUUUUGUACACCACCCUCUCACUGAACAAAAACUACAGCUUUUGAAAAUGACAAUGAUGCUUCUCUUUUCCUUUCUGUACAGCUCUGACUGCAUGCCCAGGAUGGGCUGAGGCCACAGCACUUCACACAUUUCAUUUUCUGACUCUCCCUAAAGGCCUCUAAGAACAAAACCACUUCUGACUCACAUGCACACAAGGACAGCCCAGAGGCAGGUGCUGUGGUAAGCAUUUGUAAUGAUGGUUCUUAGCAUCCAUGGAAGACAAUGUCUCAUAGGUUUAACUGUGGCAACCUGGUACUAUGUUCCCAGCUACUUUCAGGACAGACUGGCUACACAGGGCAAGAUUAAUGAAAUUAAUUUGUCCUCAUAUAAAAAAGAAUAAAACCCAAAUCAAGGUUUUUGUCAUGAAGAAUCAGCGCUAGAGAUACAUUAUAAACACAUAAACAGCUGUAAGAAGGACAAUCCCAUCUCUGGAUUGUGUAAGAGUUUUUCUGCUCUUUAAAGCACUCUCCAAAGGGGUGGUGCACUGGAAAGCCCAUGCUGUCAUGGAGUGGGAGCUGCUGGAAGAGCAGAUCUCUGCUGCUGCAGACUGAGAGCCACAGCUCUGGCUGUGGAACCCCUGCUGCUCUGGGAUUCCUGGGCACCCUCAGUACUUACCCACACUUUACACCCACCUGUAGGCACAUACAACCCCCAGACCCCACAAGGGAGGUCACUGACACUCUGUGAUGACUCAAGGGCAGCACAGUGACCAUGGAUCUGGUCUGCCCAGCUGUGACCAGUCUGGGGUCACUGGUGGGAGAGUGACCCUGUCAAAGUGGGGAAAGGUCAGGGAGGACCUGAGGCACUGGGGGGCUGAGCAGAGGAUGCAGGAGGGGAGGCUGGCAGGGCUGGCUUUGCUCAGGUGGGAGAAGGGAUUUAAUUGCUGCACUCCACUGCCUGAAGGCAAAAGUGGAGAAAAAAUGUUACACUCUCCCUCAUGAAAGGACAACACAGGCAGCAAGAUGGGAAAUUCCAAUCAAACAUGAGGGGAAAAAUUCUUUGGUGAGACUGCCUGAGUACUGGGACAAGCUGCUCAGAAAGGCUCUGGAAAUGCCAUUCUUACAAGCACAUCCUGAGGUACGUACCCCUCAAAUGGACAUGGCACCCAGUGACCUCAUCUACCUUUGAUAACAACCCUUGUUCAAGAAGGAGGCAGAUACCAGAGAUCACUUUAAACCCAAAUUUGUCUAUAAUUUCCAUGAUGCUCCAAAUACAGACUAACUAUAUUUACUUACUUUCCCUUUGAAAGUAAUAAUUUCUAAGAACAAGUUUCUUGACAGAAGCUCCAACUUAAAAAUACCACGAUUUUUUUACUGAAUGUUGACAUUUACCUCAAGACAAGUCAGCAUUUCAUUUAUUAUAUGGAGAUAAAAAAUUAGAUACAUCACACUCAACAUAUGGCACAGAAGCCCAAGGCAACCAUCCAUCUUUACUGAGUGUUCUGGCAAUUUCUACUUACCACUUUCCUAAGGUUCUCACAGAAAACCAGUCUAGACUGCUUUUCUCCAUCUGCAGAUGGUGAACCUCCCAUAUAAAUGGUUACACUGCUGUUUUAUAGGCUCUGAAGAGGCUCUAUUGCUUUCCUGCCACAGGAUUGUAUGUGAACCUAGCACAGCACAGAACUGGUGGCAUCGCUGUAUAAUGGACCCAUAUCUAAACACACAAUUGGAAAUAGCUACAUUUUCACUGUGUGACAGCUGUGUACUCAAUCUGGUGAUUGAAAAAUGGAUGCAUGCCUAGGGAAAGCUCUCUGGGAGAGGACUGGAAGAACAAUUCACUUGGACUGCAUCAGCCUCUCUGAAUUGAAGCCCCAGCUGAAAAAGAACAACAAGCUAUAGGCCAGAAUUAUUAUUUUGACAGAUGAGAUGCAGCUCUUGGCCAGAGCUUCUACCCAGCUGAAAUGAAGAGAUGUGAAUGUGAAGACUGUAACUGCUUUAAAAACAGGCUUGGUUUUAAGACUGUUCCAGAGGUCAGUGGGAGCACGGAAAGAAGAUCAGAAAGCCUUCUGAGAUACACACACCAGCUGACAGUUUGUUCUCCCACGGACAUCUCCCUCUGAAAAGCCAGGCAAUGGGAAGAGUAUGAAAGGCAUUUUGCAUGGUUAGUGCUUGGUAAGAAAGGCCAAACAUAUAAACCAGAGACUUGCAUGGGAUGCUUGGAAAGGCAUCAGGGUCAUUUUACUUGCUGUACUCCAAUCUUGAAAUCAUGCAUACUGAGUGGUUGUUUUGGAAAGUCAGCUCCUCUGGGAAAUCAUUUUCUUUUGAGUGUUUCAGGUUGUCCACCCACCACCUUCAAAAAGGGUGUACAGCGAGUAAUAACAGCAUUCUGUACUGUAUCUGCCUACUGAAAAAUACGUGCAUAGCAACUUCAGCUUCUUCUCCCCUUGAAACCACAUUUCUGAUUUUCAAUUUUUCCUCAAAAUACUGCUUCUCUACAGACUGAAGCUUGUCAUCACACCUUUGGUAUGUGCCACUCACACAUACUGACAUGAUGAUACUCAUGAUCCCAUGGAGACAUGAUCAUGUUUUCCCUGCUUACAACAGUGAAGAGUAGUUAAGGACAGUUACCUCUGCACUCCACACUGGAGAACAGCAUACAAAGAAAUAAACUGGGGGCACAAGUCUGCAAUGCACCCACAAGCACUUACAUGUAGGUUUAAUUUUAACACAACUUAGGAUAUCCUGUUCAUUCUCCUUUCUGUUCCUCUGAGUUCUCUCACAUGAACAGAAAUGGCCAUGAAUAAACCCCACUGCUGUAAACUUGCUUGCCUUGUACUAGCACAUCCUUUGUUUUGUAAGCUCUUUGUCUGUCCCCUUUCCAUCACACCUGUAGUGUUUUCUUUCAUCAUCUGUAUUCUCUUUGGGGAGAUAAAAUACCAAGUACAAUUUUCACCUUCUCUGACUUCCUGCUAUCUAUAGCUGUCAUCUGUAUGCUAGGCCUUAUUUCAAAGAGAGGAUAUUGCAGCAAUCACAACUGUCCACAAAAGACACCUCAGAAAAGUGUUAAAAACUUAAAAAGCCUUGUUCAUGUCCCAGCCUGUGAUACAGUCAUCUCUUCCCAGCAGCUCAAACCAAAGGCAAUGAACAAAAGUCAGAUGAUGAGAUUCAUCACUUCAGGUGCUUUUCCUGUCUCCAAUCCAAGGAGACUGGAACAAGGAAAAGCAGCAGUGGAAUCAUGGUGCUUGCAGUCAUUUCCAGAAGCAAUACAAAAGGAUGCUGUCUGCCAGUACUAACUCCCUUAUCUUGCCAGGAUUUCUUGGCAGCAGCAGUGGAGUACUGUGUUCUGUGUUUUCUGGGAUUUAGGAAAUGCUAAAUCACUCAGAGUCUGUUCAGUUUCUGCUCUAAAGAAAGUAACCCGCUCAAUACUGUUAAUGUGGAAAUUCAAACCAAUACAACUAAAUCAUCAAGAAUGUUGUCAAUCCUGUCAAAGGUACUGCUGCCUCCAAAUCUAUUCCCUUUUUUUGGGUGAAAAUUAGAGAUGCACCUCCCUGCUGGCAGAAUUUAAUUAGGGCUUAGUACAGGAAGGGAACAUCUAGAAUUUAGUAAAUGUGGAGAGAUUCCCAGUGUCUAGUUCUCCAUGAGAGCAGCUGAGUAUUCCACAUAAAUAGGCCAUAUUGUUAAAAGAAAAAUAAAAGGGCACUGUACAAUCUCCUUAACCAAACUUAUGCAUGUCCAGCAAAUGGCAGCAUCAUUCCAACCAGGAUCACCAAAGUCUAGAGAGAAAAAUUUAAGUUACACUUUGUGGAAUUCUUUGCCAAGCACUGAACAAGCAAACAACUCCACCAUGGUCUGCAAAAGCCCACUGACAUCCAAGCCCUUUCACAGCACUUCAUGAAUGCUCUGCACUGAUUAGAAGCCUCCAAAACAUGCAUCAUCCUCUUUCUUCCCUUCUUUCAUUUGUUUUUCUCUGAGCAACUCUGCAACUCAGAUCACCUGAGCAGAGGACUGGUUCUGGGCUGAGGAUAUUCCCACUCAUCCUUUAAACCCGAUUCAAAGAAUUUUGGGGCACAAGAACUGGGCCAUGCCAAACUAUCUAAAAUUAGAAGAUUCAGCUCACAGGCUGCUGGCUUGCAAUGCAACUUAUUCACUGACAUAACACCAAAGAAACAGCACUGCAAGAUUAUUAGCAUUGAGUUAUUUUGCCCUCUUUUGCUGUUUUGGUAGAGCCCUUACAGGGCUCCCAGCACAAGAAAUCCUGAUCAGAAACUGGUCAGCCCUAUACUAAAGUCAAUAUGAAUAAAACAGGACUUUUCUUUCCUGGAAGCUGCACCAAAACCAUCACACUCCUGGCUAGAGGAAGCCAUCUCAAACUAACUGAGGCCAGGUAAGGAAUGCUCUCCAUUCAGACACAAUGCACCAUGUCCCAGAAGAUUCCUAAGGGGAUAUUCUGGAGGUUGCUGUGCACACAGGAACACAGAUGCUUUGCAUGCUCAGGGCCUGUUUAUCAGAGGCCUUAUUUAAAAACUUCAUCUUCAUCCUUAUUAUUAAAGACUCUGUAAAAUGGACUGGCAAAUGGUAUGAUGGAAAAAGACAUUCUACUGCUGCUGAGAUAAAACACAAUCUUCUGUGCUUAACACACUUUAUGCCAUAAAUACAGGCCAAUAGAAGAACCAGUAGCAUGGUCAGUGCUAUCCUCAGUGAGAAAAUUAUUUCAUUAGCAAGCAAAAGGCAGUGAAAACCUUGGGCUCAAAUGGAGAUCUAUAAAGCACAAGAUCAAGUUAAGACCCCAGGUGAAUCCUGGUACCAAGCAUUCCAAAUCAUCCUUCAUAUAAACCAGGACACAAAGAUUUGUGAGUUUUGUAUACACAAAAAUACACACACAUUUUACAUACACAUUUUCCAGGACCUGCUUUAGCCCACUGUACUUUUGAACUUGUUCCAUGACAGCAAAAUUAAACCCUACAAACACUAAGUUCAAAGAAAGGCCCUUUUUUGCUGUUUUUUAAAUGGAGAUGUGAGCUAGAAUAUCUGACACAGUGGUGGAUACAAAAUACAUGGAGAAAAUCUUCUACUUUGCAAGCUAAGCAGUGUUCAUGUGUGCUUGGUGCUGUCACAUUAGGUAAAGUAUGGAUGGAUGGAAACUUGCCAAGGAAAAGUAAUGGAAAAGCUGCUGGACCACUCAUUUAGCACAGCACUGCUUCCAAAAAUGCCCUUAAUGACUCAGGACUUGUACAAGCAAAGUCGUUUCUGCUCUCCUUUGGGAGUCCUGGACAUCAAGGCUAACAGGGUAUCUAAGCUGUAAUUUGUCUGAAAAUAAACACCACCUGCUCCAGCAGACAAUCCCUUUGAAAACACAGCAAACAUGGAAAAGAGUGAAUUAAAUAUGAAACAAUAGCAAGAUAACCUAGAAGGGCAUCUUCUGAACCAAAUCUGGGUACAACAAGGAAACCAAACUUGAGAAAACAAGUGGAGCCGUAGAGGCAUUAAAACACUUUGGCACUUCACAGCUCUUGACUGCCUUAGGAUCUGGAGAGGUUCACAUCCUAAUUUCCAAAGACAGCCUAAAUAAAUUUGGGAGUUUGCAGUUCCACAUCAGGAAUGCUUUCCUGGCUGUUAAUCUCUAUUACAAGUCCUCUGCAGAAAGAGGUAUUAAGGCCUUCAAGGCAAUCCCUACCUCAGAGCUGUUUUCCAUCUGAUACAGGAUCAGCAUCCCCAAUGCUCUGACCCAUUUUCUCAGCCACACAGCAAUGCAAACAGAUUCUAGGGGUUUUUAAAUGAUGAAUUUUUUCUAUGAGCUUGAGAGGCUGCUCUCUAUUUUUUACACAACUAUACCAUGAUGAUAAUUGUAUUCAACAAUUGUACGUAAGUGCUGUAAUGUUAUAAAAUUUCUUAAGGGCAAAAACCUAAAGACUGUGACAGAAGACAGAAUUACAGCACUUCUGCCUCAAAUGCUUUACUAUCUGCAAGGCUUAUAUAACAAAAAAGCAGAGGUACAUUUUUCUCUUUAAAAUAAUGAAAUUUCAUACAGAAUUGUGAAUCUGAGUUAAGGAACCUCCAGUGGCAGUGAUGCUUUAGGCCUUUUCCUUUCCCUGAGUUUGAAGAAAGCAGUAACACUUAUAUAACACAGAGGAGAAGUUGUAAUAGGCUGGGCAACCCCAAGUAUUGCAAGAAUAUUAUAUUCCUUAGAUGUGAUAUUGCUAUUUAGUACCCCACUAUCUUUAAAUACAGUUCUAGGCAGAACUCAGCCUCCUUCAUGUCUUUAGCUACAAGACUAAAAGACUAUAUAAGACUAUAAAAUUAGCAGUGAUAGCUACAACUUAAAGAUGAAUGCAGGGUGUCCAAUAAAAUAAAAGGUUAUCAAGUUCAACAGAGGUUUACAAAAUACUAGGUAAGAGAAAAAAGUCUUUAUAAUGACUUUAUAGUCAGUUAAGACAAGAAUAACUUAAGGAAUUAAAGAACAAACUGUGCAAUAUUUUAUAUGCUUUGUUUUCAGUGUAAAAGAAAAUUCUCCAUUUUGUCCCCAAACAGAAGAGUAAGUUUGGAAAUGGAUGGGUUUGCUGUGUACUAAAGAAAAAGCUAGGAUUAAACUCCAGAGCAGACAUACUUUAGUUUCACUUAUGGGUUAGCUACUUCCAACACAUGGCUUGAUGAACUUAUAAUAUCUGUAGGAUUUUAUGUUCCUUUCAAUCCUCCUCCUCCUCCUCUCCCUCCGAGCUGUGUAAUUCUUCUUAUCACCCACGCCUGCAAACUGUGUCUAGUAUUUGAGUCUUCUCCUCCUCCUCCUCCUCACACACUUACUCUUAUCAGACAUGUAUUUGUAAAAUAUAAAGAUUUUAUUAAGUUUUCACUUUUAAAAUAGGCAAAGGUAUUUCUAAAUGUGUUUUUUUGGAUAUACAUACUAUCUUAAAUGAGGAGAUGCAUGCAGCUUGUUCAUCCUCAAAGAGAUAUUAGGGUGUUUCAGAAAAGUGCAUGAUUAAGUUUUCACUUUUUCUGUUCUAUAAAGACCCUUUAAAAGCUGUAAUUUCAGUUGUCUUAAAACUAAUUCUUCAGAAUGUUACCCCAUAUUUUCCGCCAAUAAACUAAAUUCCUUCUCUUGAAAGUUUAGAACCAAGCCUAAUCCAACCCAUGUUUUCACUGCACUUGGCACCAAUUUAAAGUAUUUCCCUGUUUUGCUACUUUACACAAGAAAAGGGAAUGCAAUCACAGCUAACAGUAGCCCAGGUUCUAAGACUGGAAUGAAACAAACAGUUGUACUUUGUCAGUUACAUUUCUGUCAUUCAGAAUAGACAUAUAUUUCUUCUCUAAACUUGCAUGUGUCUGACUACAAGUUUAAAAUGCAUCACAUGAAAAUUAGAUUUGCUCUCCAAAAUAUUUCGUUUUGAUUAAGGAUUGAGAAAUUGAAAGAAAGGGAAGAAAUCAUCAGCAGCUAUCUGAUACACCAUUAUUUAUGAUAAUAUAUUUGUGUCAAAACAUCAAAAACAUCCCCAUCAGGUUUCCUCACUAAAUAAAAAACUGCUUUAGGAGCUUUACUCUUGUAAAAUACACAU